AUUGAACGCUGGCGGCAUGCCUUACACAUGCAAGUCGAACGGCAGCACGGGUGCUUGCACCUGGUGGCGAGUGGCGAACGGGUGAGUAAUACAUCGGAACGUACCUUAUCGUGGGGGAUAACGCAGCGAAAGCUGUGCUAAUACCGCAUACGCCCUGAGGGGGAAAGCGGGGGAUCGAAAGACCUCGCGCGAUUAGAGCGGCCGAUGCCUGAUUAGCUUGUUGGUGGGGUAAAAGCCCACCAAGGCGACGAUCAGUAGCUGGUCUGAGAGGACGAUCAGCCACACUGGGACUGAGACACGGCCCAGACUCCUACGGGAGGCAGCAGUGGGGAAUUUUGGGACAAUGGGGGAAACCCUGAUCCAGCAAUGCCGCGUGAGUGAAGAAGGCC
rnacentral:rRNA from 1 species